UUAACGCAAACCAAUUUUAACAGCGUUCAUUUUUUUAUCGCGCGAGUAACGCAAUAUAGAUAUAUAUAUUUUUUUUUUUAUUCUUUGGCUCACCUAAAAGUCACUCACCUAUGGCAAGCCAAUUUUACAUAAAUUCACUAGACUGGAUAUGGGUUGCAGAUAUCUGUAAUUCAGUUUUGCCUAGUCAAAAUUGACAUUUCGGAUAUCCGCAACUACAUUCUUCCUAUCCACAAUUGUCAUUUCAGAUAUCCACUAAGAAAUUCCUCCUAGGAGAAAUGACGUCACUUUUGCCAUUCAUGUCUAUGGGGUUUCUCAUUACAGAUUUGAAUUACGGAUAACUGCAACUGAAUUGUAGAUAUCUGUAAUUCCAGUUUGAGAUAUCUACAAUUUGAUUAUGACUAGUCACAAUUCCAGUUCAAGAUAUCUUUAAUUCACCUCAAUUCAAGAUAUCUACAUGUACCUUUUCAGAUAUCUUAAAUUAAGUUUUGACUAGGCGAAAUGACGUUGUAGAUAUCUCUAACUGGAAUUAUGACAACAUGACGUUGUAGCACUCUCAAACUGGAGUUAGGGAUAGUCAUAAUUUAAUUGUAGAUAUCUAUUAUCAAGUAAUAGAUUUUGAUUAGAGAUAUCUAAAAUUGGAGAUAUCUGCAACUCUAUGGUUGCCAUUCAUGUCUAUGGGGUUUCUCAUUACAGAUAUCUACAAUUCAAUUGCAGAUAUCCACUAUGUGAAUUACGGAUAUCUGCAACUGAAUUGUAGAUAUCUAGAUAUCUACAACGUCAUUUCACCUAGUCAAAACUUAAUUUAAGAUAUCUGAAAAGGGAUGUUGAUACCUUGAAUUGAGUCGAAUUAAACUGGAAUUACAGAUAUCUACAAAAAAAUUCCAUGUACUUAUUUUACCCGGCUUUCGAUAAAAGCGUCUGCCUAAUGGCCUAAAGGUAAAUGUAAAUUAAAAAUUCAGUUUGAAUUAUUUUCUCACAAUUUCUUUAUAUCCUGGUUGUUUCAAUAUUGUUUAUCCCAUGAUAACUAGGGGGCUACGUAAUCUAUUGUUGACAAAUGUAAUCUUUAUGAAUUUCAGAUAUGACAGAAGAACGGGUCAAACCACCGGGAUCAAUAAUGAUUGCCAAAAUGGGUCAAUGGCCCAGCAACAGCACCAGCAUGAUGGUGAUUAUCGAGUUGAUUUAGGAAAUCAAUUGCAAAUAUAUUUAAUUCAAUAAAUCUUUCUGGGUACAAUUAAUAUGCACCCUGCACUUAUUAAUAUAGCCUAUACAAUGAUAGACAUUCGCAUUUAAAACCACUUUAUUGUUCACUCUUUGCUUGCUAACGUGUCUCUCUUUGACUUGGAUGUGCAGGAAUCUGCAGUAGAAAUUUUUAAAUGAUAUCAUAUUCAGACAGGAGACAAUAAAACAUAUGUUUGUUAUUUAUUUAAUAUGCCGGUAUAUAUUUUUUUCCAUUGGAGUCAACAAAGAUGACGCGUCUCUGGCUUUGGUGACAGACUGUCGCUCAGGCCAAUCGAUUGCCUUGUGGGAAUGACUUUUCGUUGUAGAGAUACAUUGAGAGAACGAAAUUCAAAACGCGUGUAUCCCGAAACCACAACAUCUGUAAUCCACCAUAGGAGUCUGGUCUGAUUGUUGUUUUAAUACUUUAUACUUGUUUUCGAGUAUCAACUAAUAAUUGUAAAGAUUUUUUUUUUUUUUAAAGAUACUAAACACGCCUGAGAUCAAACAGAUCGGGUACUUCAACAUCUCAGCAGUUGUCAAGCCGUGAACCGAAAUUAUUUAGGUGGCAGGUGAAGUUGUCCCACCACCGGAGAACACUUCCCAAAGCCACGCGAGGGACAGGACGCCAACCAGCACCAGCAGCAGAAUACACGACAUGACAACUCUAUCGGACGUCCGACAAACAAUGCUCGAAGAAGUUGUGUGUUAACAGGAUACCCGGGGUCAAGAAAA